rnacentral:misc_RNA from 1 species
GAAAUGCGAUAAGUAAUGUGAAUUGCAGAAUUCAGUGAACAUCGAAUCUUUGAACGCACCUUGCGCUCCUUGGUAUUCCUUGGAGCAUGCCUGUUUGAGUAUCAUGAAAUCUUCAAAGUAAAUCUUUUGUUAACUCAAUUGGUUUCUACUUUGGUAUUGGAGGUCUUUGCAGCUUCACACCUGCUCCUCUUUGUUCAUUAGCUGGAUCUCAGUGUUAUGCUUGGUUCCACUCGGCGUGAUAAGUUAUCUAUCGCUGAGGACACUGUAAAAGGUGGCCAAGGUAAAUGCAGAUGAACCGCUUCUAAUAGUCCAUUGACUUGGACAAUACUUUUAUGAUCUGAUCUCAAAUCAGGUAGGACUACCCGCUGAACUUAAGC